AUUGAACGCUGGCGGCAGGCCUAACACAUGCAAGUCGAACGGUAACAGGAAACAGCUUGCUGUUUCGCUGACGAGUGGCGGACGGGUGAGUAAUGUCUGGGAAACUGCCUGAUGGAGGGGGAUAACUACUGGAAACGGUAGCUAAUACCGCAUAACGUCGCAAGACCAAAGAGGGGGACCUUCGGGCCUCUUGCAACCGGCUGUGCCCAGAUGGGAUUAGCUAGUAGGUGGGGGAAAGGCUCACCUAGGGGACGAACCCUAGCUGGUAUGAGAGGAUGACCAGCCACACUGAAACAGAGACACGGUCCAGACUCCUACGGGAGGCAGCAGUGGGGAAUAUUGCACAAUGGGCGCAAGCCUGAUGCAGCCAUGCCGCGUGUAUGAAGAAGGCCUUCGGGUUGUAAAGUACUUUCAGCGGGGAUGAAGGGAGUAAAGUUAAUACCUUUGCUCAUUGACGUUACCCGCAGAAGAAGCACCGGCUAGCUCCGUG
rnacentral:rRNA from 1 species